rnacentral:rRNA from 1 species
CCCUUAGAUGUUCUGGGCCGCACGCGCGCUACACUGAUGCAUUCAACGAGCACCCGCUGGGCCGAGAGGUCCGGCUAAUCUUUGAACGUGCAUCGUGCUGGGGAUAGAUGAUUGCAAUUAUUCAUCUUCAACGAGGAAUUCCUAGUAAACGCAAGUCAUCAGCUUGCAUUGAUUACGUCCCUGCCCUUUGUACACACCGCCCGUCGCACCUACCGAUUGAAUGGUCCGGUGAAAUUCUCGGACGCGGACUUGCAAUGUUAAUUCGGAGCUUGACUGUGAAAGUUAAUUAAACCUUACCAUUUAGAGGAAGGUGAAGUCGUANCA